rnacentral:rRNA from 1 species
CCUACGGGGGGCAGCAGUGAGGAAUAUUGAUCAAUGGCCGGAAGGCUGAACCAGCCAAGCCGCGUGAAGGACGAAGGUGCCAAGCAUUGUAAACUUCUUUUGUCAAGGGACAAAAUCAGGCUCGAGAGCCUGACCGUGUGUACUUGAAGAAAAAGCAUCGGCUAACUCCGUGCCAGCAGCCGCGGUAAUACGGAGGAUGCGAGCGUUAUCCGGAUUUAUUGGGUUUAAAGGUUGCGUAGUCGUACGUUUAAUUCAGCGGUAAAAGCCCGGGGCUCAACCCCGGCGAGCCGGUGAAACUGGCUGUCGUGAGAAGUCGAGAGGUAUGCGGAAUGCGCGGUGUAGCGGUGAAAUGCUUAGAUAUUGCGCAGAACUCCGAUUGCGAAGGCAGCAUACCGGCGGCGAUCUGACGCUGAGGCACGAAAGCGUGGGUAUCGAACAGGAUUAGAUACCCUAGUAGUA